rnacentral:rRNA from 1 species
CCAAGAUUGAAAGCUGGCGCCUUCGGCGUCCGCAUUGUAAUCUCAAGAAGUGUUUUCCGCUUCGGACCAUGCCUAAGUCCCUUGGAAAAGGGCAUCAUAGAGGGUGAUAAUCCCGUACAUGGCAUGGAGCGCCCGAAGCUUUGUGAUACGCUUUCUAAGAGUCGAGUUGUUUGGGAAUGCAGCUCAAAAUGGGUGGUAAAUGCCAUCUAAGGCUAAAUAUUGGGGAGAGACCGAUAGCGAACAAGUACAGUGAUGGAAAGAUGAAAAGAACUUUGAAAAGAGAGUUAAACAGUACGUGAAAUUGCCAAAAGGGAAGGGUAGGAGGUCAGAGAUGCGUCGCAGGAUUCAGCCUUGCUUUUGCUUGGUGUUUUUCCUGCGUUGCAGGCCAACGUCGGUUUUGGGCACUGGAGAAGGGUAGGAGGAACGUGGCACCUCUCGGGGUGUGUUAUAGCCUCCUACUGGAUACAGCGACCGAGACCGAGGAACGCAGCGUACUCGUAAGAGCGGGCCUUUUGGCACCUUUACGCUUAGGGCGUUGGCAUAAUGGCCCUCUACCACCCGUCUU